CACGCCGUAAACGAUGAGUGCUAAGUGUUAGAGGGUUUCCGCCCUUUAGUGCUGCAGCAAACGCAUUAAGCACUCCGCCUGGGGAGUACGACCGCAAGGUUGAAACUCAAAGGAAUUGACGGGGGCCCGCACAAGCGGUGGAGCAUGUGGUUUAAUUCGAAGCAACGCGAAGAACCUUACCAGGUCUUGACAUCCUCUGAAACGCCUAGAGAUAGGACUUUCCCCUUCGGGGGACAGAGUGACAGGUGG
rnacentral:rRNA from 1 species